UUGGGCGAAACUCUCCGCACACGUGCGCGGAAAUCACCGAGUGUUGACCCUGCUGAUGAAUACCAAGGCCGACCUGA
rnacentral:RNase_MRP_RNA from 1 species